rnacentral:rRNA from 1 species
GACGAACGCUGGCGGCGUGCUUAACACAUGCAAGUCGAACGGAAAGGCCCUGCUUUUGUGGGGUGCUCGAGUGGCGAACGGGUGAGUAACACGUGAGUAACCUGCCCUUGACUUUGGGAUAACUUCAGGAAACUGGGGCUAAUACCGGAUAGGAGCUCCUGCUGCAUGGUGGGGGUUGGAAAGUUUCGGCGGUUGGGGAUGGACUCGCGGCUUAUCAGCUUGUUGGUGGGGUAGUGGCUUACCAAGGCUUUGACGGGUAGCCGGCCUGAGAGGGUGACCGGCCACAUUGGGACUGAGAUACGGCCCAGACUCCUACGGGAGGCAGCAGUGGGGAAUAUUGCACAAUGGGCGGAAGCCUGAUGCAGCAACGCCGCGUGCGGGAUGACGGCCUUCGGGUUGUAAACCGCUUUCGCCUGUGACGAAGCGUGAGUGACGGUAAUGGGUAAAGAAGCACCGGCUAACUACGUGCCAGCAGCCGCGGUGAUACGUAGGGUGCGAGCGUUGUCCGGAUUUAUUGGGCGUAAAGGGCUCGUAGGUGGUUGAUCGCGUCGGAAGUGUAAUCUUGGGGCUUAACCCUGAGCGUGCUUUCGAUACGGGUUGACUUGAGGAAGGUAGGGGAGAAUGGAAUUCCUGGUGGAGCGGUGGAAUGCGCAGAUAUCAGGAGGAACACCAGUGGCGAAGGCGGUUCUCUGGGCCUUUCCUGGCGCUGAGGAGCGAAAGCGUGGGGAGCGAACAGGCUUAGAUACCCUGGUAGUCCACGCUGUAAACGGUGGGUACUAGGUGUGGGGUCCAUUCCACGGGUUCCGUGCCGUAGCUAACGCUUUAAGUACCCCGCCUGGGGAGUACGGCCGCAAGGCUAAAACUCAAAGGAAUUGACGGGGCCCCGCACAAGCGGCGGAGCAUGCGGAUUAAUUCGAUGCAACGCGUAGAACCUUACCUGGGUCUGACAUGGAUCGGGAGUGCUCAGAGAUGGGUGUGCCUCUUUUGGGGUCGGUUCACAGGUGGUGCAUGGCUGUCGUCAGCUCGUGUCGUGAGAUGUCGGGUUAAGUCCCGCAACGAGCGCAACCCUUGUUCACUGUUGCCAGCACGUUAUGGUGGGGACUCAGUGGAGACCGCCGGGGUCAACUCGGAGGAAGGUGGGGAUGACGUCAAGUCAUCAUGCCCCUUAUGUCCAGGGCUUCACGCAUGCUACAAUGGCUGGUACAGAGAGUGGCGAGCCUGUGAGGGUGAGCGAAUCUCGGAAAGCCGGUCUCAGUUCGGAUUGGGGUCUGCAACUCGACCUCAUGAAGUCGGAGUCGCUAGUAAUCGCAGAUCAGCAACGCUGCGGUGAAUACGUUCCCGGG